AGAACUAACACAGGACAACAAGAUGUAUAUGGCAUAUGGAUGGCCUCAGGUCAUUCCGCUUGAACAGGGACUCUGCCCCUCAAUCCAGAAGAUUAUAUACCUCAGGGUCAUUAAUCAUCAAUUACUCGUCGUAUCCCCCACUCACUUCGAGCUAUGGAGUGCUUCCCAGAAUAAAGUGAGACUGGCCAAGUACAAGAGAGAUUCAGAUUCAUUGCAAAGGGAAGGAGAAAAUUUGCAGGCAGUGUGGAGCCCUGAUGCAAAAUUAAUAGCCAUUAUCACAUCGUCUUUCUUUCUUCACAUUUUCAAGGCACAAAUCUCAGAAAAAAGAAUGCAUAUUGGAGGGAAGCAGCCCUCAGCUUUGCGCCUUGCUACGAUAUCUCUUCUUCUGAGUGAACAAUUGCCCUUUGCAGUGAAGGAUUUAACACUGAGCAAUAUUGUGAGUGAUAACAAACACAUGCUGCUUGGACUUUCUGAUGGAACUUUGUACAGUAUAUCUUGGAAGGGAGAGUUUGGUGGGGCUUUUGAAUUUGAUCCACAUCCUCAAGUCAUUGAAGAUUCUCAGGUACCACUUACUCUAGGCAAUGGCCUUUCUCCUAAAGGUCAUCCCAGGGUUCUUAUGUCCAACAACAAUGGCCCUACAAAGUCUGCAAUUGUCCAGCUGGAGCUUUGUCUUCCACUGAGGUUGCUUUUUGUCUUAUAUUCUGAUGGGCAACUUGUCUCAUGUUCUGUAAGUAAGAAAGGUUUAAAGCAGGUUGAGUCCAUUAAAUCAGAAAAGAGGUUGGCUUGUGGUGAUGCUGUAUGUGCUUCAAUAGCUCCAGAGCAGCAAAUCCUUGCUGUUGGUACCAGGAGAGGAACAGUUGAAUUAUAUGAUCUUGGUGAAUCUGCAUCACUCAUACGCACGGUCUCUUUGUAUGACUGGGGAUACUCAAUGGAUGACACUGGUUCUGUUAAUUGCAUUGCUUGGACACCUGAUAACUCUGCUUUUGCAGUUGGGUGGAAAUUAAGGGGACUUGCUGUUUGGUCUGUUUCUGGAUGUCGUUUGAUGUCUACAAUUCGACAAAUAGGUUUAAGUUCUGUAUCUUCUCCAAUGGCUAAGCCAAACCAGGAAUCUAAACAUGAACCAUUGAUGGGUGGCACGUCACUUUUGCAGUGGGAUGAAUAUGGUUAUAGACUUUAUGCUGUUGAGGAGGAAUCUUCAGAGAGAGUUCUCUCAUUCUCUUUUGGCAAAUGCUGUCUUAGCAGAGGUGUUUCAGGCACCAAUUACAUCCGGCAAGUAAUCUAUGGGGAAGACCGGUUACUUAUUGUGCAAUCAGAAGAGACUGAUGAGCUCAAAAUGCUGCAUCUUAAUCUUCCAGUUUCCUAUAUCUCCCAAAACUGGCCCGUUCAGCAUGUUGCAGCUAGCAAUGAUGGAAUGUACUUAGCUGUUGCUGGUCUCCAUGGUUUGAUAUUGUAUGAUAUACGAUUAAGAAGGUGGCGAGUUUUUGGUGAUGUUACCCAGGAACAAAAGAUUCAAUGCAAAGGUUUGUUAUGGCUGGGGAAGAUUGUUGUCGUCUGCAACUAUAUUGAUUCUUCCAACACGUAUGAAUUGCUCUUUUACCCAAGAUAUCACCUUGAUCAAAGUUCAUUACUCUGUCGAAAGUCACUUCUUGCUAAACCAAUGGUGAUGGAUGUCUAUCAAGAUUAUAUACUGGUUACGUAUAAACCUUUUGACGUCCACAUAUUGCAUGUAAAAUUAAUUGGUGAGUUGACACCUUCAGGCAAUCCAGAUUUACAGCUUUCUACAGUACGAGAACUUUCUAUCAUGACUGCCAAGAGCCACCCCGCAGCAAUGCGCUUUAUUCCCGAUCAAUGCUCUACAGAGUCUGUGUCAAACAAUGAUGUUUCAUCAAUGUCGGAUUCAUUAGCAAGAGAACCAGCAAGGUGUUUGAUAUUGAGAGCAAAUGGGGAGCUUUCACUUCUUGAUUUGGAUGAUGGACGUGAGAGAAAGCUUACUGAUUCGGUUGAAUUAUUUUGGGUUACUUGUGGCCAUUCAGAGGAUAAAACAAAUUUAAUAGAGGAAGUUUCAUGGUUAGAUUAUGGUCACCGAGGCAUGCAGGUCUGGUAUCCAUCUCCAGGUGCGGAUCCGUAUAAACAGGAGGAUUUCGUGCAGUUGGACCCGGAAUUGGAGUUUGAUCGUGAAGUAUACCCUCUGGGACUUCUUCCAAAUGUUGGUGUGGUUGUUGGUGUUUCUCAGAGAAUGUCAUUUUCAGCAAGCACAGAGUUUCCAUGUUUUGAACCCACUCCUCAGGCACAAACAAUAUUGCACUGCCUACUUCGGCACCUUCUUCAGAGGGACAAAAUUGAGGAAGCUUUAAGACUUGCAGAACUAUCAGCAGAGAAGCCUCAUUUUUCACAUUGUCUUGAGUGGCUUCUUUUCACAGUAUUCGAGGCAGAUAUAUCCAGGCAAAAUGUAAAUAAGAACCAGAUCGCUGUGUCUAAACCUGCUAAACGCUCUCUUCUGGAGAAGACCUGUGAUUUGAUCAGAAGCUUUCCAGAGUACCUUGAUGUUGUUGUAAGUGUUGCAAGAAAAACCGAUGGUCGUCAUUGGGCAGAUUUGUUUGCUGCUGCUGGUAAAUCAGCCGAACUGUUUGAGGAAUGCUUUCAACGAAGAUGGUACCGCACUGCUGCUUGCUACAUACUCGUGAUUGCUAAACUUGAAGGCCCUGCUAUUAGUCAGUAUUGUGCUUUAAGGUUAUUACAGGCUACCCUUGAUGAAUCUUUGUACGAACUUGCUGGGGAGCUGGUGAGGUUCUUGCUGAGAUCUGGCAGGGAAUUCGAUCAUGCAUCAAGUGAUUCUUUGUCUCCUAGAUUUUUGGGUUACUUUAUUUUUGGUUCUAGUCACCAAAGGCAGUCAUUGAAUAAAAGCUCCUCAUUCAAGGAGCAGAGUGCCCAUGUUACCUCUGUUAAGAAUAUUUUAGAAAGCCAUGCUAGCUACUUGAUGUCUGGGAAAGAGCUCUCAAAGCUUGUUGCAUUUGUCAAAGGAACUCAGUUUGAUUUAGUGGAGUAUCUUCAACGUGAAAGAUACGGGAGUGCUCGGCUUGAGAAUUUUGCAUCAGGGCUUGAACUAAUAAGCCAAAAGCAAUGUCCCCCCCCCCCCUCUUUUUUUCUCCUGCUUAUUGCACGCUCUUGUGUUCUCAGCUUCAAAUGGGAACAUUACAGAGCCGAUUGGAUGCAGAAUUUCUUCUGUCACAUAUGUGUUCUGUCAAGUUCAAAGAAUGGAUAGUUGUCUUGGCGACUCUCUUGCGCCGAUCUGAGGUUCUUUUUGAUCUAUUCCGACAUGAUGUUCGGUUGUGGAAAGCAUACAGCAAUACCUUGCAGUCGCACGCGGCAUUCAUUGAAUAUCAUGAUUUACUGGGAGACCUGGCAGAGAAACUUUCACCUGUUGGAAGUGUGGAUGGGAACUGAAAGAAGAUUUGAUUUUCGUAGAAUUUCUCUGGUUCGUAAUGGUUUCCUGUUGAAGUAAUCUAGACCAAGUGACUGAGAAGAUGUCACACGCAAAAAGAAUUUACUCUCUCUUUGAUUGUGGGGGCCAAGAAAUUACAUCUAUAUGCUGGGUUCACACAACAUAUUAUCCAUGCUUAAUCCAGUGAAUAGGGAAUUGUAUUUUUAGGUAUAGAAAGAGGAUAGAAAUUUCUUUAGGGAGGCUUGUUUAUGACUGAGAAUUCCAUUAUUAUUCUUUUUUUUUUUCCUUUAAAUUUUUGGCCUAUUCACAGACGGCAAGACGUUUUUGUAGGAGGAUGAAUAGAUCCACAUGUAUAUAUUUCUUUCUGCUCCUGGUGAGCUUUAACAUUUAUAGUGGGAUUUAUGCAACUUAAUUCUUUUCCCCA